rnacentral:lncRNA from 1 species
AAGCUAAUUCAAAUCUUCAUAGAGGCACUCUAUCAAACGGUUCUGGUGCAAUCGUCGAAAGCUAAAGCACAGGCGUUACCGACGUAGAAUCCGAAGUGAGGAGAUCCAUCAGUAUCGUCCCGAAGAGCCCUGCUCGACCAACCCGAAGAGUCCCGCUCGAUCAAUCAACAUACAAAGUAAAAUAGUUAUCAGGGAAGGCCAUUUAUAAGAAAAUCUCCGAGUAGGCACAGAGGCUUCAGUUACGAACCGGAUAAAUGAAGUGUCUGUCCAAGUCCCAGACUGAACAUAACUGCUAGGCAAGCGGAGAGACAGAAGGAGGCAGAAGGGUUGAUCAUAAACAUAAUAUAAAAAAAAUAGUCAGGAGCGCAGAGAGCAGAGAUUGUGAUUGAAG